AGCCUCUGAUGAACAAUGUGUAAGAGUAGUGGACAGAAGUGGUUUCUGAGAAAUACCUUUUCUGAGGCU